AUAGUAAUAGUAUAUGGUGAAUGAUAUAAUGUAAAAUAGUAAAAUAGCAUGAAAUUUGUUAAAUCACACACAAUGAAAAUUAGAUAAAUUUUAAAUUAUUAUUGAGAUUUGAGAAAAACGAUUGAUUGUCAUUGUUUUUAUUAAUCAAUACAAGUAUUGAUUGUCAAUCAACAUAAAAAUGCCUUUAGUCUUUGUUCAUCAAUCAUAUUCCCAGAUACCAUAUCAAUUGUAUCAAUUGUAUCAUUUCCAUUUUUUUCAUUCAUUAAUUAUAUAUUUUUUAUUUUUGAAAGAAUUCAUUCAUUUUAGAUAUUGACCAUUUGUGCUUAUUAAAAUGAAUUUCAUUAGUUUAUGUUCUUCGUCAAUCGUAAGAUAAAAGCAUUAUAUAUGAAGAUUAUUUUGUUUAACUUUUCACUAUACAUAUAAUUUAUCAAAACCAACAGUAAUGCAUUACGAAAUUUAUAUCAAUCAAGCAAUGUAAUUAUAAUUUAGUGAAGCUUGAAUGAAUGAGGGAAUUAACGACUAAAAAAACGAGUAUAUGAUCAUCAAAGAGGGACAUAAUAAAUAAAUCUUACCUUUUAAAACAUUGGUAUUUCAUUUAAAAUUUAGCAGUACUUAGGGGCUGGUUUUUUUUUUAUUUAAUAACUUAAUUGACUUAAUUUCAAUUGGUUAAGUCAUUAAGUCCCUUUUUUUUCAACUUAAUGAAAAAUUUUGGUCUUUAAGUCAUUAAGUUAUCUAGCCAAUUUUUUUUUUUACCUUUUUACUUAAUCUAAAAUGUCUAAAUGAUAUCAUUAGAAGAUAUUCUCCAAAAUAUCCCUAUCUAAUCAAUUAAUUUUCAUCCUUAACUAAAUAAAUUUUAAUAAUUAGCAUUAUUACUCAUUUGUAUAACUUGUGAUAAUAUAGUGGUAGAAUAUUAUUAUUUUUAUCUUUUUAUUUUCUUCAAAUUAACAUUAUUUAUCUUAAUAAUUUUUUUAUAAAUAUUUUUCAUAUAAAAAUGUCAUGAACUAUAAUAAAAUUGAUUAACAUAUACUAAUUUAGAAUAUAAAUGGUUGUAUUUAAUUAACUAUGAUUUAUAUUAUGAUAAUAUAUUAUUUUAUUUAAGUUCUUUGAGAUGUUUAUUAUUUAUUUAACAUUUAUAAUUUGUAAGGGUAUAAAUAUAAAAAUAUUAGUUUUUAGAUUUUAAAAUUAAAAAAAAACAACUUGAUAUUUGUUUUUAGCAAUUCAGACAAAAAAAAAAACAAACAUAUCAUUCAGAUUCAGAUAUUCAGUUCUAUUCUGAAUUUAAACUAAUUCAAGUAUAUUCAGAGUUCAAAUAAAAAAAACAAACGCCAUCUUAAUUUGAAUUUACUUACGUAUACAACCAUUCGGGAUCUCAUUUUUGUUGAUCACAAUUCGGGGAUGACUUUCAUGUCCCUGGACAAAUUAUUUCUAGACCAAACAUUAAUUCUUGGGAAAUAUGACUAGAAUGGAUGGGGACAUAACUGAAGAGGACUCCAAGGACCUUAACUUACUAGAAAGUAGNNNNNNNNNNNNNNNNNNNNNNNNNNNNNNNNNNNNNNNNNNNNNNNNNNNNNNNNNNNNNNNNNNNNNNNNNNNNNNNNNNNNNNNNNNNNNNNNNNNNCGUUGUCAGAUUGAGGUGAUACAACUUUUAAGUUGUAGCUGUUAUAGAAAUUACUAAAUCUUUUAGGUUAUUUUUGAAAAUAAAUCAAAAUUAUUUAUUUUUGAAUUCAUGUUACUAUCAAAGAUUUUUUCUUAAUAAAAUUAACCGUAAAACCGCAUGGGAUAACUCUAUGUGAAUACUUUUUAGUGAAUUUAUUUAAGGGUUUCAGAUUUCAGCAAACUCUAUUAGCUGCAGUUCGUCUUGUACGAAUAACUUUCUUUUUAAAGUAUGGAAUAAUCUACUUAAAGUAUUAUUUGCAUGAAUUACGUUCAUGCGAACAAUACUUAUCAAAAAUUAUUUGCAUGAAUUUUACCACAUAUGAAAAUAAUACAUGAAUAUAUGUGGUAUACAUAUAUUCAAUCUCUAAAAAUCCUGGGUAGCUCUUGUACUUGACUAGAGGAGUAUAUUUUUUAUAUUAACAUUGUGCGCUCAUCUACUCACGACUCAAUCUCCGCAUAAUGUUGCAAAUCAACCAUAUUUGCAAUCUCCCGAUUAAGGCCAUUCAGGAAUCGUGCCAUAAUAGCUUCUUUAUCUUCCUCCACAUUUACUCUAAUAAUGACAAUCUCCAUUUCUUUGUAAUAAUCCUCUGUACUUCAGCUAACUUGUGCAAGACUUUGUAAUUUUUGGUGCAAAUCUGGAUAGUAGUGGUUAGGUACAGAACGCCUUCUCAUCAACGAUUUCAUUUUAUCUUAUGUCUCAAUUGGACGUUUCCUAUUCUGUCUCCUGUAUAUAACAAGCUUAUCCUACCAAGUAAUAGCAUAGUCAGAAAACUCAAUCACGAUCAAUUUUAUUUUUUUUACAUCUGAAAAAUUAUGGCAAUCAAAUAUGAAUUCCAUUUUCUUCUCACAUUCAAUGUAUGCUUCCAAGUCAUAUUUACCUUGAAAAGAUGAAAUCUCAUCUUUAUGUCACUUAAUCUAUGAUCCCUAUUCCUAGCUUUGCUACCCCGUCCAUCUCUCCUAUAGCUACCCUCUGAGUGCUCCCCUUCAUCAUACUCAUCCUUAUAAUAGUCAUUGAUCUCUCCUCUAGCCAGAGCUCUAUCCCUCCUACGUGCUUGAGGAACGGGUUGUGGUUACCCCACACGUGUUCUCUACUUGAUCCAAACGCUUGCGUAUAUGCUCUAAUUUAGCCCUCAUCAUCCUUCUCAUAUGUCCCAUCAAUGCUUAAAUUUCCAAAAUCUGAGUAGUUGCGAAUUGAUCCUCUUUUUUUUUUUACAUGGUUCAGGGUUGUGAGACAUGGCUAACGUCUGCAAAAGAAAGUUAGAAAUAAUAUAGAAAGGACCUCACCUCACUUCCUUACGUGUUUCACUCAAGAAAAUGAUUCACUCAAUUUCACUCGUGUUUCACUCAAAUUUAUUGGCUUUUACCCUCUAAUAUGCUCACACUCUCUUGCCUUUUUCCACUCGUAGUAAUUCUUACUCGAUUCUUAUCAAAUUAAUCAAACUAAUAUCAAGAUUCUAAUAGCAAUUCACAAUGAUUAUACUAAGGAGACUCGAAUUUCAAGAGCAAGAAUGCAAUGUGUACGAAAGGUCGGGUUUCGAUUUCGGGCAAAAAUUUUCACCAUGUGUAAAACUAAUUUUGGACUCUACAAGACACUAAUAAAUGAAAAAUGAACAAAUGAUUUAAGGCGGACGUUGGGGAUUUUUUUUUUUUUUUAGUAAAAUGAAUAGGUGAAAUUUGCGGAUUUAAGAAUAAUUAAACCACAAAGAUGCAAAUUGAUGAAAAAGAAACCCUAAAAAUAUUGUUCAUGCAAUACUGUUCACAUGGCACUGUUCAUGACUCUUUUUUUAUUUUCUUAAUACUAGAACAAGAAUGAAAAAUCUCAAAUAAGAAUUUAAAACAAAAAAGAAAGAUGAAUAUGAUCUUAGUGCCUAAGCUCUAAUACUAAAUUAUACGAACCUCGUCAAGAAUUGACGCGACCCUAAUCAAUUUAAUCCCUAAGAUCGGAUCUAAACUUGAAAUUGAAUGAGUACUUAAAACCACAUCCUUGGAAGGACUAACAAUCAAAGAAGCAAAACUGGUGAUUCAAAUUCAGAAAGCUCAACGCCAAAAGAGAGGGACAAUGAGUACUUAAAACAAGGAUUGCCUGCAGUGGGAGGCCUGAGCAAUGAGUUCACCAAUGUAAAGAAAGCAGUUAGGAUAGAACAUGACACAUUCAUCAAUACAUGCUCCUCACUUGCAUCCCGCGUAGUAGAAAUCCGGCAACUAGUAACACGUUGUGCUAGCAGUGAGAGAGGCGGCUUUUUAAAGGAAAUGAAAGGGUUUCUGGAGGAUUGUGAAGAAGAGCUUAAGUUGGUGAGAGAAAAGCAAAAUAGGACUAUGGAACUUGUUAAGCGGACAGCAGAGUACUACCAAGCAAGAGGUUCCAAAGAAAAAUGGGAGCACCCACUUCAACUGUUUGUUAUAGUAAAAGAAUUUCUGGGCAUGGUUGAUAGAGUUUGUGCUGACAUUAGUCGAAAUUUACAGAAGAAGAAUGGGACUAUUAGCAGAUACAGAUAAUAAAUCAAUUAUUCAUUUUCUAUUAUUAGGAAAAUUGUCAUAACAAAACCAAAACGAUCUAAGUGGCUGUUUGGUAUGGCUUAUUUAAUGGGUAUAAGUGCUUAUUUAUUCUCAUAAACUCUUAUCAUAAUUUUUGUUAUUGUUUGGUUGUUUUUUAGUAGAGUUUUUAUAGAUUAAAUAAGUUAUUUUGUCUCUAAUAGAAAAAACUCAAAUUUUGAGCUUUUGAGAGUAGAGGUUGAAUUUUUUUUAAAUGUUAAAAUAUUUAAAAUAUCGUCUACUUAUUUGACAAUCUUUUUUUAUUCUUUUUAUAACAUAACAUAACAAAACUUGCAUAUUAAAAUAUUUUCAUAAAUUUUUAAUAAAAGCUCUUGUUGACAAAUAAACAAUUAAAAUUUCUUAGAUAAAAGCUCUUCUACCAAAAUCUUUACUUAAAUAAGCUUUACUUGAAAAAUUGUACUAAACGAAGCCUAAAUCUUAUAAAUUAACCUGCUAGGUGGGUCCUACAGUAAUUUGGGCCGAACUCUGGGUUAUCGCAAGGAUUUAGGCCCAACUCAAUCCAGAUCAGCUGCCUGUAACCGCGACGACUUGUAGCACAAGCCGCAAUGCAGUGAUUACGAAGGGAAUAGGAUCUACAGUUGCAGAAAACGUUUAUUGCUUACUGCAUUGUUCAUCUGCUAUAAGCUAUUAAAUAAAUAAUCUUAGAGCUGUUAUAAAAUAUAAUAGUAGUUAGUUUUCCAUCCCAGGAGAUGUCUGAACCUUUUUCAGUCUUGGAUAAAAGAAUUAGAUUUACCCGACUAAUAUUGUUUUAUUUGAGAAAGGGGAGAGAAGAAACCAGAAGUGGUUGCAUCGUGGGCGGCUUGACUCCUGAGCGAGCUACGAGCUUGACCUGGAUCAAAGUGAAAGUCGAGUCAACGAUUGGGUAAUACCCAAAAAAGGUCAUUUCCUUACACAAUAAUUUCCAGGAACGCGUUCAAAACUUAAAACAAGAAACAUUCUAUCUCCUCCACGACUUAAAGAUAAAAAAGACAAUAACAAUAAAUCAAGCAAAGCUUCUAAACCGGGAAAUUUUCUCAACAAGUAGUAUAACAGUUGUAGAAACGAUGGCAAGUGAAAGACUUGGAGAGGUGAUAAGCAUGAAAGAAGAGGUGAUCAAGAAAGCAUGCUCGAUAGCAAAUAGUGUUUACAGGGCAUUCCUCAGCCGGUCCAAUUGCCGUUUUAAUGACAGUUUGGUUCCUGGAAAAUUUGGAAAAAUUCAUAAAGUCAGACCCCAGCACCAGCCGAAUGCCACCUAUAUGCGUCACUUUUGGAUCACCUCUUGUUGGUGAUUUCAUAUUUAACCACGCUUUGAGGCGAGAAAGUUGGUCUCACUACUUCAUUCAUUUCGUAAUGAGGUACGACAUCGUCCCUCGGGUUUUGCUAGCUCCUCUCUCUUCCAUUGAGCCAGAACUGAAAAUUAUCCUCCAUUUCUUGAACCCAAAACAUACAACUCCCAUGCCAGAACCAACUGAGGAAGCUUCAGCUCUCUAUGUGACGGUGAUGAGGAAUGCAUCAUCUGUGGCAAGCCAUGCGGCCUGUCAUCUCAUGGGAAACACAAACAAGUUGUCUGAUACUUUGUUGAGUUUCGUUGAGCUGAGCCCCUAUCGACCCUUUGGAACUUAUGUCUUCUGCACAGGAGAUAGGGAACUGGUAGUAGUGAAAAACCCUGAUACCGUUCUGCAGAUAUUGUUCUAUUCUUCUCAGUUGAGCUCUGAAGUAGAAGGUCCAGAGAUUGCUCUCAGAAGCGUAAAGGACCACCUUAAUUACCAAAGCGAUCUGCAGAACUUAGAGACAAAAGGUGUCGCUCAUUUAGACAAUUUGCAAGGGCUUCCAUUGUCUUCCAAUGUCGGUGCCGCUGGCCUUGGCCUGGUCCUGAAUAACCUUGGCCUGGUAAGUCCGUUUCAAGAUAGUUUCAAAAUUAGUCUUUCAGUUUUAAAAGUUCCCCUAUCAGUUUUUUUUUUUUUUUUUUGCCCCCUUGGACUGACAUUUUGAAUCUUCGGUUUCCAGAGCACCAGGGCCAGACCCUGCCUUUGUGCUGCUGGAGAAUUAGAGGAUCAAAAAUGGAGAAACCUGGAAAAGAUUAAUAAAAAGAAGAUAGAUAUAGAGAGAGGACUACUAGCACUUGAAGGGUACAAAACCAGGUGCGAGGCUGGCAGAGUCAGCUAUUAUGAUGCAUUCAAGCUUUCAAAGGACACUGAUGAUUUCAAUGCAAAUGUUAAGAGGCUUGAGUUGGCUGGUAUAUUUGAUGAGAUUAAGGAAAUGUUGAAAAGGUAUGAACUUCCUGAUGAGUUUGAAGGCCAUAGAGAGUGGAUAGACAUCGGAACAAGGUACCGCCGCAUUGCUGAACCUCUAGAUAUUGCUAAUUACUAUCGACACCUAAAAAAUGAAGACACAGGUCCCUAUCUGAUAAAGGGCAGACCAAAACGAUACAGAUACACUCAGAGGUGGCUCGAAUAUGCCCUGAAGAUAUCGGCAGGAUCCAGCGGGGAAUCAUGUUUCUGGGCAGAGGUUGAGGAGCUCUGCCUCAGAACUAUUAAUAUGGGGCUGUUUGAAGAUGUCAAAGCACAUAUACUGUCCCUGGAGAAGCAGGUAGAUAAAUGGGUUCAGGAUAGGGAGUUAGGUGAUGAUAUAUUCUUUGAGGAUUCGACCUUCGUCAAGUGGUGGAAAACACUCCCUCAGCUACAUAGAUCAGGAUCAUGCAUUGCAAAAUUCAUCAAUAACUAAAAAAAUAAAUCUUAAAGCUAUCACCACUUGCUUCUAGAAGUGCAACUAUCAACCGUUGGUCCCUGCCCUGGCCGUGGAAGUUGUGUAAUUAGUUAACCUAAUAUCAUUAGUUUCUAUUUGUAACGUGUGCUUCAAUUAUAACUCAAGAGUGGAGACUCAUUUUGUAUUACGACCAAAUAAGUCAUUAGUGGAUUUUUGCCAAAUGUUAUUAACCAGUAGCAGCAUUAUUGUUGAAAUUAUACUGGCUGUCCGCUGGUAAUGCAUCCAUUUCGGGAUGCCACGCCGCUACUGUUUGUUCAAGAAUUCUGUCAUCCUGAUACAAAAACAAGGAAAGAAAAAUAAGGGCUCUCAAGAAGCAAGCCAUUCUCAACGUGCUAAGAUACAAUGUAUCGAAUAAAAUCAUCACUGUGCAGUUAUAGCGUAAGAACAACAUUAUUGGUGCAAAAUAUAAUAAGCUCAUAUCGAUCUUCAGAUAUAGAUUUAGACAACUUUUAGUGUUAAGCGAGUAAUAGCAAUAUAGCAUACUGCGCAUACAGAUACUUAUAUAGGUAGAGCAAAAAGAAAAAUUAUAUGGUGUUCACAUGUUGCGUGAUCUACAAGCUAUUGAAUCAGACUUUACGGGAAAAUCGUUGCGUAAUAUGUUUUCCCAAUUGUUAUAUUCUCUCUGGGGAACAUAUUGGGUGGGUUUAGAGCGUUAAUUGCUCCGUUUCCAUGUGAACAUGCAAAAAUUGCUAUUCUCCUAGAGCUGUUAAUUUGUUUUUUUUUUUUUCUUAGUAAUGAGGACUUUUUUAACGACGGCAUAUAUAGUAAACAAAGUCGUUAUAAAAUUAUUCCAUAAGAUCUUUAAGUUAGAUCUUUUCUUUCAACAAAGACUUUUAAAUUAGAUGCAUUUAAUUAUAUUUAUUAUUUAGAUGUACCAUUCCAAUUUGUUGUUUUCAACACUAGUCAUGAAAAAUGUAAAAUAUCAAUAUGUAAAUUUUAUAUGAACUAUACUCUUUAAAAAUAUCUCAUCAACUUAUAAUAAAUGAUUUCUAAAUUGAAUCACAAAGUUACUGUCCAUAAAUAGAUAGUUUUUAAUCGUUAGUUAUUUUUAUAUAAUGGUAGAUAAUAUAUGGUGAAUGAUAUAAUAUAAAAUAGUAAAAUAGCAUGAAAAUUGUUAAAUCACACACAAUGAAAAUUAAAUAAUUUUAAAAUUAUUAUUGAGAUUUGAGAAAAAUAAUUGAUUGUCAUUGUUUUUAUUAAUCAAUACAAAUAUUGAUUGCCAAUCAACAUAAAGAUGACUUUAGUUUUUGUUCAUCAAUCAUAUUCCCAGAUACCAUAUCAAUUGUAUCAUUUCCUUUUUUUAUUCAUUCAUUAAUUAUAGAUUUUUUAUUUUUGAAAGAAUCCAUUCAUUGUAGAUAUUGAGCAUUUGUGCUUAUUUAAAUGAAUUUCAUGAGUUUAUGUUCUUGGUCAAUUGUAAGAUAAAAGCAUUAUAUAUGUAUAUAUAUAUAUAUAUAUAUAUGAAGAUUAUUUUGUUCAACUUUUCACUAUACAUAUAAUUUAUAAAAAUCAACAGUAAUGCGUUGCGAAAUUUAUAUCAAUCAAGCAAUAUAAUUAUAAUUUAGUGAAGCUUGAAUGAAUGAGGGAAUUAACGACUAAAAAAAAAGUAUAUGAUCAUCGAAGACGUACAUAAUAAGUCUUACCUUUUAAAACAUUGGUAUUUUAUUUAAAAUUAGAAGGAUUAGGGCUAUUUAUUUUUUAAUCACUNNNNNNNNNNNNNNNNNNNNNNNNNNNNNNNNNNNNNNNNNNNNNNNNNNNNNNNNNNNNNNNNNNNNNNNNNNNNNNNNNNNNNNNNNNNNNNNNNNNNAAGUCAUUAAGUCCUUUUUUUUUCAACUUAACGGAAAACUUUCAAUCUUUAAGUCAUUAAGUUAUUUAAAAAAAAAUUGAUAUUUAUUUUUAACAAUUCAGAAAAAAAAUAAACAUAUUAUUUAAAUUUAGACAUUCAGUUCUAUUAAAAAUUUAAACUCAUUCAAAUUUAUUUAAAUUUCAUAUGAAAAAACAAUCACCAUCUUAAUUUGAAUUUACUUAUGCAUACAACCAUUUGGGAUCUCAUUUUCGUUGAUCACACUUCGAGGAUGACUUUCACGUCCUUCGACAAAUUAUUUCUAAACCAAACAUUGAUUCUUGGGAAAUAUGACUAGAAUGGAUAGUGACAUGACUGGAGAGACUCCAAGGACCUUGACUUAAUAGAAACCAUUCAUUUCAAUUUUCUUCACGUCCUUGCAAAAAUCCUACAGUAAGACAGAGUGUUAGACCAGUCACCGACAAACCAUAUUCUGGUUUUGUUUGAAAUUAAAGUGAUAUAACUUUUAAACUAUAGUUGAUGUAAAAAAAAUUUAUAAUUAUGAAACAAAGGUUACUAAUAUAUCAUAAAUAUAAUUUUUAAAUAAUAAUUUUAAUAAAAUUAUUAAAAAUAUGAUAAAUUAUCAAUAUAAUUUUUGUAAGAUAUAGCAGCUAGUGUUUAAUAAACAUUUUAGUGUUGCCCAACCUCAAUCUUAAGUAGGGCCUUGGUUUAGUCCAAAAUUACCUAGAAUGUUGAAAAAAAAAACUAGACUUUAAUUAUUAAAAUACCCGCUGAUUUACGUUAGAUUUUAUUGAUUCAAUAAAAGCUCAAAACUCGUCUGAAACUAGAAUUUAAUAUUUUUCAACUCCAAUGCAAAAGCUCAAAACUCGCAUGGAGUUUGAAUAAGUGCUUUCAAACUAGUUAUUUAUUCAAUAUCGGUUUAAAAGAAGUGAUACAGGGUGCUAGAGUGGAAAGAUUACAAGGAGUUAUUUCUUUUGAAGAGUGAUAAUUUUAAACAUUUUGUGAAAGAAAUGAGAAUCGAAUUUGAGUUUAAUGUUGAUAUGAUUUUUGUGUUGAUCUUUUAAAAAAAUUGAAAUUACUAAUUUUGGACGAAAAUAUUUAACUAAAUAAAUUUUAAACAUGAUAUAUGGCAUGGUCGAAAAUUAUAUAUCGAAAUCAUAAAUACAACUAAGAUUAUUGUUUAUUUGUAAAGCCCAAGUUAGCCCAAUUCUCAUGACCAGGCCCAAUCCUUAUGUGAUUAAAGUUAACAACAUAUGUUUGAUUUUUGGGAGGCACGUUGAUGUUUUCACAUCUGGUGGAUGAAGUGUGCGAUAAUUCAUGUGACCUGAAAACAUCUCGUUUUAUAAUUUCUCUUCCAAAUGAUGAAUUUAUAUUGAUAGUAUAUUAAUUGAAUACAAAUUAUGUAUCUCAAAUUAAAAAAAAAAAACAUAUUAUUAUUUAUAAUAAAAAAUUCUCAAAUACAGACAUUUACAUUGUAAAAUAGAUUAUUCAUAUAAAAAAUUUGAGAUACAAAUUUAUAUCCUAAUAUUACGUGACAACCGUAUAAAUUUAUACACAUAAAUAAGAAAUAAUAAAAUUACAAAAUUUUGUAUAAAUAAGAAAUAAUAAAAUUACAAAAUUAACUAUCUCAUAACAUUAUCAGACUAUUAUAAUCCAAAUUUGUAAUGCCUAUCGUUAUUCUUUCGGAGAUCCUUAAUUUUGAUGACGAAUUGGGUUGGGGCCCUCAUUAAGAACGACUCAAACUAUGUCUUUACCUAUGAUUUAGAAAAUGAUAAGGGUCUCAAUGUUAUUAUACCGUUAUUAUAUAAGUCAUUUCAUCCUCAAGCUCAGGGGAACGUCGUCGUGUUAAAAACCUUCAAAAUUGAAAAGCUCUGUUUGAAGCUAGUGAGCAGAACACCCGCUUUCUCUUCCCUCGUCCAAUAUUUUCCCGGAAAAUCGAAAGCUUUCCAGGAAACCAGACAGAACGUAACUGUUUCGACAAGCAUGGAAGAAUCAGAAUCGAAUCGUGUAGCAGAGGAAGUUAACGAGGCAAAAAUGAGCAGAAAGGAGAAGAAGAAGAUGGCGAAGAAGAAGAGGAGGAAAGAGAAGAGGAAAGAAAUGGCGGCGAAGGAGAGAGAAGAAGAGGAAGCGAGGUCGAAGGAUCCGGAGGAGCGGAGGAAGUUCGAGAUGAUGAUUAAAGAAGAGGAGGAAAAGAGAGAGAGAGUGUUGAAGGAGUUUGAGGAGAGAGAGAGGCUUUGGAUUCAAGAGAUGGAGUUGAAGAAGAAGAAAGUAGAAGAAGAAGAGGAGAGAAGGAAAGUUAUGGAAGAUAGAGAAAAAGAAGAGGCAGCCAUGAAACAAUUACAGGUUUGUUUUAUUUUAUUUAUUAAAAAGAAUUUUGCAGUUUUUGUUUGGGUUGGUGUGUGUGUUUGGCUGCUGGGAAAGUUGGAGGAAAUAGGAAAUUUAAUAGAAUUUGUGGCCGCUAGAAUUGAUUUUUCCGGAGUUAUUUUUGUUGUAAAAAUGGAAAUUAAGUAUUUUUGUGAGACUUGUUACCGUUGUGAAUUUUUGUUAGGCUCUUUGAAAAUGUUGGAAUGGGAGAGAAUGCAAUUCUAGGUUUAAUUAUCGAUGGGUAUUCAAUAUCUUGCAGGUUGAAAAGGAGAAUGAAUGUGAUGAGGAUGAUGAUUGGGAAUAUGUUGAAGAAGGGCCUGCAGAAAUUAUAUGGCAAGGAAAUGAGAUUAUUAUCAGGAAGAAAAAAGUUAAUUGUUGUUAAGGAUAUUUUACGAAGUUUUCAAUCUUUAUUUUAUAUACAUGAUUUUAUUGGAGUAAUCAAUCUCCAUAGUGAUAAUAACAAAUAAUAAUAGAAAACCUUCGUUCUACAAAUUACUAUAGUUUAGCCCAAAAAUUAAAAAAAAAAAAAGGGCUAACAAGUUUUAUUUGCCAAACAUAGUGACAAAUUUUCCAUAAAAAAGUAGCAGUACAAUGGUAGGUUGUAUAGCUAGUUAAAGUUACAGUACUUGGUAGUGAUGCUUGGAUUUUAGGUGCUUUCAAAAGAAGCCGAUCCAAGGUUUUGGAAAAAUCACAUAUAGGUCCUUCCUAUCAUUAGAUGUAUUUUAUUUAGUACUUUUUUUUUUAUUUUGUCUAUAUCUCAACCUUCAGAUCAUUUUUCUCUAGCUUAUCCUCUCACUUUUUACACUCCAAUUUUAAUGAAAAAAAUUAAAAAUGUAAUAUUAUAUGCUUGAAUUUUUUUUACUCGAAAUUAGAAUAUUAUAUUUGGCGAUAUAAUUAUCUUAAGUUCAAUUUGUAAAUAUAUUAUGUAUAAUGUUUAAUUUAAACUUUUAAUUUUCUCAAUUAAGUGUUUAAUUAAUUGCGAGGCAGGGCAAACCUUUAACCCAGAAAUAAGGCAAGAUUGAUAAAAGUACAUACUAUAAUUUAUAAAAAUACUUAAAAGUACAUAUUCUUAAAAGUACAUUUCUCUUAACUUGGCGCUUAGUCGAGAUCAUUCGUUGGAAAAAAAAAAAUAGUUUAUCUAACAAAUAAUUAAAUGCGACGGCGUUUGAGACUGGAAAAAGAAAAAUAAAAAAUUCAAGUUUGAACCAUUUAUUUUUAUCAUUACCUCACAUCACUAGAAUAAUAAAAGCUAAGAAGGAUAGAAGAGGAAGAAUGAGGAGGAUCCAAAUCCAUAAUCUAAAUCUAAUUUUUUUUUUUUUUUGGUUUUGACCACGAGGUAUUCUGGGGAGGACCCCAACUGUGGGAAGCACCUUUAAGCCCGUACCACAACCCAGAUUAGAAGUCCCCGCUCGAACCGAGAGGCACAUGUUCUCCCAAUAAAGGCGACUUCCCUGCGACUCGAACUGGGGAGCAAACCCAGUCAAGCCACUUAAAGGGACUUCAUUGCCAGUGGAGCCAACAUUUUGUUGGUCUAAUUAAUUAGUUAUACUCACUAAUAUCAUUUAGAAAUUUCAGUUUAAUCUUGUUGAGCUUGGCUACGGCAUCUUUCAUACAUAUCCUCUGGUCGGGUGAAUCCAUGCUACAAUCCAAAGCCAAAUGCAUGAUGCUCAGCAUACAAUCCAUUUUGGCUGCAAAAGCUGGCUCUUCUAGCAGCAAAUUUUCAUCCACAACGUUUGUCAAUCCAUGAGGCAAUGACUCCUUCACCCAGUUCUUUAAACUCAUUUCUCCAGCAAAAAAUUCAUCUGUGGGUUUCUUUCUUGUGAAAGUUUCCAUCAACAAAACACCAUAUCUAUAGACAUCGCAUUUGGAUGAAACAAUUCCCUCUGAUCCGUAUUCUGCAAAUUUAAAAAUUUUCAAUUUAUCACACGUUAUUAAUUAUGAUUUAAAUGACUAAUAAAUUACUAUAGUCUUAAUUUUAUUAAAAAAAAAAGAUUAUAAUAUAUUCUUGAAAGAUUACCUGGUGCCAUGUACCCAACGGUGGCCAUUGUCAUGGUUCGUGUCUCAAAAUUUUCUCCAUCACCUAAGAGUUUGGAAAUGCCAAAAUCACUCACAUGUGCCACCAUAUUUUCAUCCAAGAGAAUAUUACUGGGCUUCAAAUCACAGUGAACCACAGAUGGGGAAUAACCGUGAUGGAGAUAUUCGAGAGCAGAUCCCACAUCUAUCAUCACAUUCAACCUCUCUUGGAUAUCUAGAAAAUAGUUGUGAGAAUACAACCACUUCUCAAGACUACCAUUGGGCAUGAACUCGAGUACCAGAGCCUUAAAAUCAACAUUACUGCAGCUACUAAGAAUCUUUACAAGGUUUCGGUGGCGAAUGCUUCUCAAUACUUCACAUUCAGAGUCAAAACUUCGAAAUGCUCUCUCCAACUGUAAGUUGAAAAUCUUUAUAGCAACCUCAGCCCCAUCCGAGAGUAUCCCUUUAUACACUGAGCCAAAGCUACCUUUACCAAGCAAGUUGGCAUUCAUCAAAUCCAUUUGUUGCUCGUUCAAUUUCUAGAUACGAAAUUCUUCUCCACGUUGCCAGAGGUGAAAAAUCUUCUUGAUGAGCAGAAUUCAUUGAAGCCUUAUUGCGACGUCUCAUGAAGACAACAACAGUCAUUAUCAACAAAAUGGACACGAUUGGAGGUAAGACAUAUUUGAGGAAAAGUGUAACAAUGGCUUUCUUGGAUCGUCUUACGGUGCCAUCAUCCUUGCAGGGUGGGACUUGUAGUCUUGGUGAACCACAAAGUGCAUAAUUCCACAUAAACGAUUGAGCCGAGAAGUUUCUAAAAGGCCCAUUUUCAGGAAUUUUCCCUUCCAGUAUAUUGUGAGACGCAUUCAAAUGUUUGAGAUAUAAAAGUUUCUCCAGUGACUUAGGAAUCUCACCAGAAAGAUUGUUACUAGAGAGAUCUAAGAUUUCCAAGCUUGUGAGAUUGCCAAAUGACUCAGGGAUGUGACCUUGAAAUAGAUUACCAGCUAAUGAUAGAUUAAGAAGCUCUUGAAGGCCGCCAAUGGCUGUUGGAAUAUCACCCGAUAAUUGAUUCCUUGAUAAAUCUAAAAGUAUCAAGGCCUUCAAGCUCUUCAUACUUGAAGGGAGAGAACCAGUUAAUGAAUUUGAUGACAAAUCUAUUUGUAAGAUGCCUUCGAGAGUCCACAAGGAUGAUGGUAUAAUAGAGGUGAGAUUAUUUGAGCCUAAGAGAAGAGAUCUUAGAGAUGUCAAACUUGCCAAGCAUGGGGGUAUAGAUCCAGUGAGCUUAUUUUCAUAUAACAACAAUGAAUUCAACCCCUUUAAGUAGCAAAGCUCAUAUGGAAUGGGUCCUUGCAAAUUAUUCUGACGAAGACUUAGACUUUGGAGCUUCUUUAGUCUUCCUUAACUUGUUGGAAUUGUUCCAUUUAACUCAUUGUUUUGGAGGCUUAAUGUUAUCAAGCCAUGCAAAUUACCAAUUUCUUUGGGAAUGUUGCCCUUGAGCUGGCAAUCGUAUGCGAAGAAUUGCUCAAGAGAUGAAGAGAAAUUCCCAACUGAUGGUGGAAGGAUGCCACCAAAUGGAUUAAGUGCUAAAACGACUCGUUUUAUAUCUCUGCAAUUUGUCAAAGAAGAGAGAAAACUCCAAUCUUCUUCGGUAGAUGAUGACGUUCCCGGGAUGGUCAAGUUGUUUCCCAUAAUGGUAAACCUCACCAGGUGUCUCAAUUUUCCAAAUGUGUUUGGAAUGCGGCCAGAGAAAUAGUUGAAGCUCAAGUCUAGGGCAUAGAGUCUAGAAGCAUUGGUGAUGGAAUUAGGAAUUGUUCCGAUAAGUCUAUUUUCGGACAAGUCAAGAAUCUCCAUGUUCUGAAGCGAGUAGCCAGCAGUUGAUGGCAGGUGGCCUGAGAGUUCAUUUGCUGCUAGGGUAAUAAGAUUUACGGUUGACAAGUUGAAAAUGGUGGAGGGAAUAUGACCAGUUAAUUUGUUGUGAAAAAGAAGAAGAUUUUGCAGAUUUUGUAGAUUGCCAAUCUCGUCUGGAAUUUCACCUGCCAGAAUGCCAACAUUGAGGAGUUAUAUAAAUUUUGAGCUUUUCAAUUCUACAAUAACAGAUGUGCUUAUUAAUAUCAACAAAGAGAUUGAUGAGUAAUAUUUAUUUAUUGUUAGGUGUGAAACAAUAAAUAUAAAAGUUAAUUACAGAAUAAUUUUAAGAUCGGUGAAGCUGCAUUCCUUAAAAUUAAAUUUCAUAUACUGGUUCAUAGGAACUAGACCAUAUGUAUGGCAUAUUAGUGGAGAUAUAAAUUUUGUAUCUUAAUAUUUGACUUGAUAAUUUUGAGAGUUAAAACAUGAGUAAAACAAAUAAAAAAGUUGUAUAUAAUUCAAAAUUUAUUUUAUAUAAAUUAAGAUAUAACCAAUAACAGAACAACUAAAACUCCAACAAAAAAUCAUUCUUAAAAUAAAAGAGCAUGCAUGAAAAUUUGAUAACUUGUGCAUGAAAAAACAAGAAAAAAUAUACAAUAAUAUUAGAAUCCUAAUAUUUGGCCCUCGAGUAUUAAACUAACGUAACAAGUGAUCUUUAAUUGCUACCUCAUACUAAAUAUUAAGGGAAAUUAUCAUUGCACCACUUUUGUUUUGCUUCAUAUUCAUCCAACCACCACAAAAUUGUAACAUGUUCUCUGCACUACCUUUCUUUUCACAUUUGUAUCAACUAACCACUUUUGCACUAACACUGUUAAAUAAUUUAAAUAAAAUGAUAAUUUUACCCCUAAAUAAAUUAGAAGACCAUUUUAUUUUAUAAAAACUUUAAAAAAAUUAUAAUUAUAAAAUAUCCUUAAAUUUAAUAAAAAUAAAUCCCAAAAUUAGAAUUUUUAUUUUUAAUAAAAAAUAUUUUAAUAUAAAUUAUAAUUAUAAAAAAUUGUGAAAUUUUGAGAUUUAAUAAAAAUCCCCUAAAUUAUUAAAAUUUUAGGAUUUAUUCUUUUAAGAAAUAAAUUCAGUUAUUUUAAUAAAAUUUUACAAAAUUAUAAUUUUUUAAUAACAUUUUACAAAAUUAUAAUUUUUUAAUAAAAAUAAUUAAUAAAAUUUUGUAAAAUCUAAAUUUAAUAAAAAUCAAUUGAGCACCUCUAUUUGGGAUUUAUUUUUUAUUAAACUUAGGGAUAUUUUUAUGAUUAUAAUUUUUUAUAUUUCAAAAUUUAUAUAAGAUAAAAUAGUCUUUUAAUUUAUUUGAGGGUAAAUUUAUCAUUUUAUUUAAAUUAUUUAACAAUGUUAGUGCAAAAAUGGUUAGUUAAUACAAAUGUGAAAACAAAGAUGGUGCAGAGAAUAUGUUAUAAUUUUGUGGUAGUUGCAUGAAUAUAAGACAAAAUAAAAGUGGUGUAAUGAUAAUUUCUCAAAUAUUAAUAAAUAAUCUGAUUUAAUGGAGCCUCAUCAGUUGAGACUCAACUUGUGUCAUUCAUUAUGUGGUUGAUAAUUUUUUCUAAUUUCCUAAUGAAUUGCAUAUAUUAUCUCAUAAUCUGAUCGAUGAAUUCCAUAUCAUUUAGUAUGAAAUUUUGGGGUUUGUACCACUUUCUAAAAAAAAUUAAUUUUACCCUAAAGAUUUAUGAUUUUUUUUUCCUUUUGAAGUACUUAGAAAUUGAUGCCACGGGCUAAGCUAAAAAACUGAAAUCUCGUUCUUUUAUAUCUGCUGUUGGGUGCUGGAUUUUUUCCUUAAAAUUAUUUAUUCAUGUGUAGAUUGUAAAAGUAGGAGUACCGGUAAAGCGUAAAUAAACUUUUUAACCCAUACCAUUCGAACAUGAAUAAUCAGCUAAAAAAUUAAAUUAUUUGAAGACUGUUCAGCCAAUUAAGCCCCUAUGGCUCAGUCCUUCUCUUUCUUCUGCUACGGAUCCCUCUCGAAAGAGCAGGUCGGAUUUUGAUUUGUGUAGUUUCUAGCAGUAGUUAUUGCACCAUAUUAUAAAGUGUGUUCUGCAAAUUGAAAUGGAAGCUUUAAAAAGACGAGGUGGAAGGCACGUACCUUGAAGGUUGUUAUUACCAAGAUUUAGAUGCAAGAGCUUACUCAAAUUUCCAAUCUUGGUGGGAAUUUUCCCACCAACAAUAUUGAACCUCAUCUCCAACGUCUCCAGCUUUGAUAAGUUGUACAGAUAAUCCGGGAAGGGACCUCUGAAGCUGUUAUUGCGAAGACUAAACAUUCGUAGUUUCGGCAAGCUGCCAAUCCAGGAUGGAAGGACUCCACUCAAUUGGUUGAAAUUGAAAUCAAUGAGUUUGAGCCUUCGUAAUUGCCUCAAUUCAUUAGGCAGAUGGCCAUGAAAAUUGUUACCACUAAUAUUAAGAGACACCAGAAAUGAAAUAUUUCCCAAGUGUGCCGAAAUGGGGCCUUCGAGACUAGAAUCUGAAAGAUCCAAUUUUGUGACUCUAUGAUGACGAGUGUCACAAGAAAUGCCGACCCACCUGCAUACUGGAUAAGAAACUGACCAAUUGUACGUCAGGAUACCUCGAGGAUCAAUGAGUUGCUCUUUGAAUGCAAGAAGAGCAUGUUGAUCCGUCGUUAUGUUUUUAACACUACUCGCAGGCAAAGCUAAGCUGGACACGAUGAAAUAGCGUAAGAGCAACAUUAUUGGUGCAAAAUAUAAUAAGCUCAUUUCGAUCUCCAUAUAUAGAUUUAGACAACUUUUAGUGCUAAGCGAGUAAUAGCAAUAUAGCAUACUGCGCAUACAGAUACUUAUAUAGGUAGAGCAAAAAGAAAAAUUAUAUGGUGUUCACAUGUUGCGUGAUCUACAAGCUAUUGAAUCAGACUUUACGGGAAAUUCGUUGAUUGGUCUUCUGGAAAAACUAAACUAGUCUGAAACAAUGACAAUGUUUUCCCAAUUGUCAUAUUCUCUCUGGGGAACAUAUUGGGUGGGUUUAGAGCGUCAAUUGCUCCGUUUCCAUGUGAACAUGCAAAAAUUGCUAUUCUCCUAGAGCUGUUAAUUUGUUUUUUUUUUUUUUUCUUAGUGAUGAGGACUUUUUUAACGACGGCAUAUAUAGUAAACAAAGUCGUUAUAAAAUUAUUCCAUGAGAUCUUUAAGUUAGAUAUUUUCUGUCAACAAAGACUUUUAAAUUAGAUGCAUUUAAUUAUAUGUAUUAUUUAGAUGUACCAUUCCAAUUUGUUGUUUUCAACACUAGUCAUGAAAAAUGUAAAAUCUCAAUGUGUAAAUUUUAUAUGAACCAUACUCUUUAAAAAUAUCUCAUUAACUUAUAAUACAUUAUUUGUAAACUGAAUCACAAAGUUGUUAAUGCUGUCCAUAAAUAGAUAGUUUUUAAUUGUUAGUUAUUUUUAUAUAAUGGUAGAUAGUAUAUGGUGAAUGAUAUAAUGUAAAAUAGUAAAAUAUGGUGAAUGAUAUAAUGUAAAAUAGUAAAAUAGCAUGAAAUUUGUCAAAUCACACACAAUGAAAAUUAGAUAAAUUUUAAAUUAUUAUUGAGAUUUGAGAAAAACGAUUGAUUGUCAUUGUUUUUAUUAAUCAAUACAAAGAUUGAUUGUCAAUCAACAUAAAGAUGGCUUUACUCUUUGUUAAUCAAUCAUAUUCCCAGAUACCAUAUCAAUUGUAUCAUUUCCUUUUUUUUCAUUCAUUAAUUAUAUAUUUUUUUAUUUUUGAAAGAAUUCAUUCAUUUUAGAUAUUGACCAUUUGUGCUUAUUAAAAUGAAUUUCAUGAAUUUAUGUUCUUCGUCAAUCGUAAGAUAAAAGCAUUCUAUAUAUAUGAAGAUUAUUUUGUUUAACUUUUCACUAUACAUAUAAUUUAUCAAAAUCAACAGUAAUGCAUUACGGAAUUUAUAUCAAUAAAGCAAUGUAAUUAUAAUUUAUUGAAGCUUGAAUGAAUGAGGGAAUUAACGACUAAAAAAAAAGGUAUAUGAUCAUCGUAGAGGGACAUAAUAAAUCUUACCUUUUAAAACAUUGGUAUUUCAUUUAAAAUUUAGCAGGACUUAGGGGCUGUUUUUUUUCUUAAUCACUUAAUUGACUUAAUUUCAAUUGGUUAAGUCAUUAAGUCCCUUUUUUUUCAAUGUAAUGAAAAUUUUCGGUCUUUAAGUCAUUAAGUUAUUUAGCCAAUUUUGUUUUACCUUUUUACUUAAUCUAAAAUGUCUAAAUGAUAUCGUUAGAAGAUAUUCUCUAAAAUAUCCCUAUCUAAUCAAUUAAUUUUCAUCCUUAACUAAAUAAAAUUUAAUAAUUAGCAUUAUUACCCAUUUGUAUAACUUGUGAUAAUAUAGUGGUAGAAUAUUAUUAUUUUUAUC
rnacentral:lncRNA from 1 species